AGGCUUGUAGCUCAGGUGGUUAGAGCGCACCCCUGAUAAGGGUGAGGUCGGUGGUUCAAGUCCACCCAGGCCUACCA
rnacentral:tRNA from 2 species